rnacentral:lncRNA from 1 species
GACCAUUUGCUACCCUCCUCCCAUAUUGCCACUAUCAUCCUUUCCUAUAUUUAAUUUUCUUUUAUAGUAUACUUAUAAUAAUAAUAAAGCUUUACCUUGUUUUAAGUAUUUUAACUCCCGAUCACCGCUACCUUUUCCGAUUGAUCUGAACCCCAUAACGCAUGUCAAGGCUCUGCCCGACUAAGUUCGUUUGGGUUCUGUCUCGUGACAUAGGGACAAGGUUGAAUUAGGGGUACUAUACUUACCACGAGUGCAUUAUAUAUUUUUCUAUAUCUCAAAAGUUAUACCUCAAAAUUUAUACCAGGAGGUUUUCUAAUUGAACCCUAAAGUUACAAAGUAGGUCCAUUCUCUUUUCUCACAGUUUUAUUUCCUUUUUGUGAAUUACCCAAAACUAUUAUUUAUUAUUCUAUUUUGUAAACAACUCUCAAUCAAAAGUCAUAUCUAUUAUAUUAUUUACCCAAUAGGAAACCCUAGUUGAGACACCCAAGUAAUUCUACACAAUCCCUAAAAUUUUCAGAAUAAACAGAAUCAGGUUCAGGGCCCCUAAAACUCAAGGGGGAUAAACCCUAAUCAAUAUUUAUCUUCUAAAAUUUGUUGUCAAAAUUGAAUACAAGCAAACAGUCGACUCAGCAAGCCUACACCCACAUGUAGCCACCCUAUAGUGAAAAUGUGUCCCUUACGGACCGUAAGGGAUUAGGCUUACGGUCCGUAAGCAUGUCAAAAUUGGUGUAUAAAUAGCAGGCAUCGGGACCUGAUUUCUUGCAUUCGUACGACGAUCAAAUUCAAUUGAUACGUCGAGAUAUAAUAGAAACAAUCACAAAAACACUAAAUUAGUAGAGGGGGUGCUGCUACGAUACAGGGUUUUAACUCGAUCGCUAUUACGAUUCAUUUUCCGACCGAUCAAUAUAUCCAAUGGAUGUUUAAGUGCCGCCCACAUUAGGGUUAUACUUUGUCAUUCGUCGUUAAAUCGAUGGAUGUGUAAGUAUCGCACUUUGUCGUUCGUUGUGAGAAUUUGAUCUCGUGAGUUAUCGUAAUUGUUGUAUUAAGUUACCUACCUAGUUCGUGUGCACUAGGUUACAAGGCUAAAUCAAUAGGCUAAGCUCUGCCUGUAUAAAUCUGCAAUAUAUCAAACUUUGGCCGUAUGAAUCUGCAUGAUUAUAAUGUAACUACAGUAGAUUGGAGUAAGGAUUGGAUCUGGCACUAAAAGACUUCAAGAAGUGGCUUAUUUUAUUAAUUAAAUCAAAUUAAGAAAUAUUGUUUUUAUUAAAAGCUACCUUUGUAACAAUGGAAUUUAUUCCAUCUAUUUAAAUAAAAUCCGGUGUUUCUAAACUCUGAUAUUUUUCCUAACUCACGUCCAGUGGUACCCGUGAUAUCUGAUUUAUGCGGCAGCGGAAGUCUUUUAUUACAGGAUCUUUUCACCGUAAAAUGCUCGUUUUAAUAUAUUAUACAAAGUUUUAGGGAUAAAUUCCCAUAAUUUACAAUAUGUUGAUUUCACACAGAAAUCAUUAUUUGCCAAAACAUGUUUUAUUUAGUUAUUCACAAUGAGCCACUUUUCUGAGCUUGUAGUGCUUUACUGCACUUUUCCUGGAUCACACAGAUCACCUGAAACAUGUUUGGAAAAGGUUUUAUCAGCGGGGAAAUACUGAGUGAAUCAUUCCGUUU